rnacentral:misc_RNA from 1 species
GAAAUGCGAUAAGUAAUGUGAAUUGCAGAAUUUAGUGAAUCAUCGAAUCUUUGAACGCACCUUGCGCUCCUUGGUAUUCCUUGGAGCAUGCCUGUUUGAGUAUCAUGAAAUCUUCAAAGUAAAUCUUUUAUUAACUCAAUUGGUUUCUACUUUGGUAUUGGAGGUCUUUGCAGCUUCACACCUGCUCCUCUUUGUUCAUUAGCUGGAUCUCAGUGUUAUGCUUGGUUCCACUCGGCGUGAUAAGUUAUCUAUCGCUGAGGACACUGUAAAAGGUGGCCAAGGUAAAUGCAGAUGAACCGCUUCUAAUAGUCCAUUGACUUGGACAAUAAUUUUAUGAUCUGAUCUCAAAUCAGGUAGGACUACCCGCUGAACUUAAGC